rnacentral:pre_miRNA from 2 species
AUGUAGGGCAAUCUGUCUUAAAGUAGGGAUAAAUUACUCUAAAAAUAUGAAUCCUAGAUAGUUUUCCCUUCAAGUCAAGUGUCUUGU